AUGCAGCGCCUGGAAGAGCACGGAUGCGUGGAUGUCCACAAGGUGAGCGCUUGCCUGACAAAAACUAUCGAUGAGCGGGGACACACCUUUGUUGUAGAGCCACCCGAAGAUGCCCCACUUGCUGCACUGGGCUGCGUCGAAUUUGUCCGCGAGCUUGGCCGACCCGGUGCCCAGGGAGAGGAUGAGGAACUUCCCAUAGUCGGCCGGUUUGAUGGGGAAGAAAUCAUUGUUGCCCAUGAGGAUCUGCUUGCUGACGUGGGUCAUGGCCAGCAGCGUCGGCUUGUUUGCCGCGACGCCGCCGUCGAUCAGAUUGAAUGCGCGCGGCUUGCCGUGCUUGUACGUGGUCUCGAAGUGGUGGCCGGGCAGGUAGGUGGGCGCGGCGGACGUGCUGAUGCAUACGUCGGAGAGGAGGGCGUCUUUGGCGACGUCGCUUUGAGCCUGCACACACAAGAUGUGGUGAUCGACGUUACUGCGACGUACUCAGGCAACAUACAUACAUGUAAUACACAAAUGAACGAUGGAACACGUUUAUUUGGAGCGGAGGGAAGAACUUACAUCGUAUCUGGAGAAGAUGAUUGGCUGCAGCAGCUUGAUGUCGAAGGCAGGGACGACGAUGUUCUGCAACGCUUGGCUCACGCGUGUCUCCCCGAGCAGCUUUCGCACGACGGAGUGCAGAUAUUUGCCGUUGUACUUGGGCCCCUUGAUGCUCUUGAGCAAGCCGAGAGGCCCGCGCCUGACGCGAGGGAAGAUCUUUGGGCAGUGCUCCAGGUAGAAGGCGUUGAUGUCCUUGGCGGCGAAGAGCGGGCGGCCGUCGGCAUUAGGGGCGGUGAGCAUGGCGGUCACCAGCCCGCCGGUGCUGGUCCCUGCAAUCACAUCGAAGUAGUCGGCCACCCUGGCCUCGGGUCCAUCAAGUUCCUGCAAUCAGUUGCACACACCAACAGUUAG
rnacentral:rRNA from 1 species